rnacentral:rRNA from 1 species
AACAAACGCUGGCGGCAUGCCUAACACAUGCAAGUCGAACGAGACCUUCGGGUCUAGUGGCGCACGGGCGCGUAACGCGUGGGAACCUGCCCUUAGGUUCGGAAUAACUCCCCGAAAGGGGUCCUAAUACCGGUUAAUGUCUCCGGACCAAAGAUUUAUCGCCUUUGGAUGGGCCCGCGUUGGAUUAGCUAGUUGGUAGGGUAAAAGCCUACCAAGGCGACGAUCCAUAGCUGGUCUGAGAGGAUGAUCAGCCACACUGGGACUGAGACACGGCCCAGACUCCUACGGGAGGCAGCAGUGGGGAAUAUUGGACAAUGGGCGAAAGCCUGAUCCAGCAAUGCCGCGUGAGUGAUGAAGGCCUUAGGGUUGUAAAGCUCUUUUACCCGGGAUGAUAAUGACAGUACCGGGAGAAUAAGCUCCGGCUAACUCCGUG